rnacentral:rRNA from 1 species
GACGUAGGGCGCGAGCGUUGUCCGGAUUUAUUGGGCGUAAAGAGCUCGUAGGCGGUUUGUCGCGUCGUCCGUGAAAACUCACAGCUUAACUGUGAGCUUGCGGUCGAUACGGGCAGGCUAGAGUUCGGUAGGGGAGACUGGAAUUCCCGGUGUAGCGGUGAAAUGCGCAGAUAUCAGGAGGAACACCGGUGGCGAAGGCGGGACUCUGGGCCGAUACUGACGCUGAGGAGCGAAAGCGUGGGGAGCAAACAGG